AUUGAACGCUGGCGGCAGGCCUAACACAUGCAAGUCGAGCGAGCGGCGGACGGGUGAGUAAUGUCUGGGAAACUGCCUGAUGGAGGGGGAUAACUACUGGAAACGGUAGCUAAUACCGCAUACCAUCAGAUGUGCCCAGAUGGGAUUAGCUGGUAGGUGGGGUAAUGGCUCACCUAGGCGACGAUCCCUAGCUGGUCUGCGAGGAUGACCAGCCACACUGGAACUGAUACACGGUCCAGACUCCUACGGGGGGCCGCAGGGGGGAAUAUUGCACAAUGGGCGCAAGCCUGAUGCAGCCCAGCCGCGUGUUUUGAGAAGGCCUUCGGGUUGUAAAGCACUUUCAGCGGGGCGGCGUUUCCCGCAGAAGAAGCACCGGCUAACUCCGUGCCAGCAGCCGCGGUAAUUC
rnacentral:rRNA from 1 species